UAACAAUUCUAAUAAAAUUUGUUGCUCGUGUAAAUUAGCUAGGGUAAUAGCUGCAUCCAAAGUUUUGGGCUCAUGGGUCAAGAUUACUUUUUCAAUAUUGAUGUAUAGGCCUAAUGUGGAAAAAUAAAGUAUCCAGGCCUCUAGAGUAUUUUUUGUCUCAUUCACAAUCGCCUCAAAUUUAGAUUGGAAGUCUGAUACAGUGGAAACUUGUCGAAGCUUUGAGAGCACUGAUUUUCC
rnacentral:lncRNA from 1 species